rnacentral:tRNA from 1 species
GGGGCUAUGGCUCAGCAGCAGAGCAUCUGCUUGGCACACAGAAGGUUCCAGGUUCUAUCCCUGGCGUCUCCA